rnacentral:rRNA from 1 species
GCAGAGCUUGCUCUGUGGAUCAGUGGCGAACGGGUGAGUAACACGUGAGCAACCUGCCCUGGACUCUGGGAUAAGCGCUGGAAACGGCGUCUAAUACUGGAUACGAGACGUGGCCGCAUGGUCAACGUUUGGAAAGAUUUUUUGGUUCAGGAUGGGCUCGCGGCCUAUCAGCUUGUUGGUGAGGUAAUGGCUCACCAAGGCGUCGACGGGUAGCCGGCCUGAGAGGGUGACCGGCCACACUGGGACUGAGACACGGCCCAGACUCCUACGGGAGGCAGCAGUGGGGAAUAUUGCACAAUGGGCGAAAGCCUGAUGCAGCAACGCCGCGUGAGGGAUGACGGCCUUCGGGUUGUAAACCUCUUUUAGCAAGGAAGAAGCGAAAGUGACGGUACUUGCAGAAAAAGCGCCGGCUAACUACGUGCCAGCAGCCGCGGUAAUACGUAGGGCGCAAGCGUUAUCCGGAAUUAUUGGGCGUAAAGAGCUCGUAGGCGGUUUGUCGCGUCUGCUGUGAAAACUGGAGGCUCAACCUCCAGCCUGCAGUGGGUACGGGCAGACUAGAGUGCGGUA